rnacentral:rRNA from 1 species
UACGGGGGGGGGCAAGCGUUUGUUCGGAAUUACUGGGCGUAAAGGGUUCGUAGGUGGCCAACUAAGUCAUACGUGAAAUCCCUCAGCUUAACUGGGGGAACUGCGUCUGAUACUGGUUGGCUUGAGGUUGGGAGAGGGAUGCGGAAUUCCAGGUGUAGCGGUGAAAUGCGUAGAUAUCUGGAGGAACACCGGUGGCGAAGGCGGCAUCCUGGACCGAUACUGACGCUGAGGAGCGAAAGCCAGGGGAGCAAACGGG